rnacentral:rRNA from 2 species
AAAACGGAGAGUUUGAUCCUGGCUCAGGAUGAACGCUGGCGGUAUGCUUAACACAUGCAAGUCGAACGGGAUGCUUAGGCAUCUAGUGGCGGACGGGUGAGUAACGCGUGAGAAUCUGGCUCCAGGUCGGGGAUAACAGUUGGAAACGACUGCUAAUACCGGAUGUGCCGAGAGGUGAAAGAUUUAUCGCCUGGAGAUGAGCUCGCGUCUGAUUAGCUAGUUGGCGGUGUAAGGGACCACCAAGGCAUCGAUCAGUAGCUGGUCUGAGAGGAUGAUCAGCCACACUGGGACUGAGACACGGCCCAGACUCCUACGGGAGGCAGCAGUGGGGAAUUUUCCGCAAUGGGCGAAAGCCUGACGGAGCAAUACCGCGUGAGGGAGGAAGGCUCUUGGGUCGUAAACCUCUUUUCUCAAGGAAGAAGAAAGUGACGGUACUUGAGGAAUAAGCAUCGGCUAACUCCGUGCCAGCAGCCGCGGUAAUACGGAGGAUGCAAGCGUUAUCCGGAAUGAUUGGGCGUAAAGGGUCUGCAGGUGGAACUGAAAGUCUGCUGUUAAAGAGUUUGGCUUAACCAAAUAAAAGCGGUGGAAACUACAGAACUAGAGUGCGGUAGGGGCAAAAGGAAUUCCUGGUGUAGCGGUGAAAUGCGUAGAUAUCAGGAAGAACACCGGUGGCGAAAGCGUUUUGCUAGACCGUAACUGACACUGAGGGACGAAAGCUAGGGGAGCGAAUGGGAUUAGAUACCCCAGUAGUCCUAGCCGUAAACGAUGGAUACUAGGCGUGGCUUGUAUCGACCCGAGCCGUGCCGGAGCUAACGCGUUAAGUAUCCCGCCUGGGGAGUACGCACGCAAGUGUGAAACUCAAAGGAAUUGACGGGGGCCCGCACAAGCGGUGGAGUAUGUGGUUUAAUUCGAUGCAACGCGAAGAACCUUACCAAGACUUGACAUCCUGCGAAUCCCGGUGAAAGCUGGGAGUGCCUUAGGGAGCGCAGAGACAGGUGGUGCAUGGCUGUCGUCAGCUCGUGUCGUGAGAUGUUGGGUUAAGUCCCGCAACGAGCGCAACCCUCGUUUUUAGUUGCCAGCAUUAAGUUGGGCACUCUAGAGAGACUGCCGGUGACAAACCGGAGGAAGGUGGGGAUGACGUCAAGUCAGCAUGCCCCUUACGUCUUGGGCUACACACGUACUACAAUGCUACGGACAGAGGGCAGCGAGCCAGGGAUGGCAAGCGAAUCCAGAAACCGUAGCUCAGUUCAGAUCGAAGGCUGCAACUCGCCUUCGUGAAGGAGGAAUCGCUAGUAAUUGCAGGUCAGCAUACUGCAGUGAAUUCGUUCCCGGGCCUUGUACACACCGCCCGUCACACCAUGGAAGUUGGUCACGCCCGAAGUCAUUACCCCAACCGAAAGGAGGGGGAUGCCUAAGGUAGGACUGGUGACUGGGGUGAAGUCGUAACAAGGUAGCCGUACCGGAAGGUGUGGCUGGAUCACCUCCUUUU